rnacentral:rRNA from 2 species
UGGGGAAUUUUGGACAAUGGGGGAAACCCUGAUCCAGCCAUCCCGCGUGUGCGAUGAAGGCCUUCGGGUUGUAAAGCACUUUUGGCAGGGAAGAAACGGCGCCGGAUAAUACCUGGCGCAACUGGCGGUACCUGCAGAAUAAGCACCGGCUAACUACGUGCCAGCAGCCGCGGUAAUACGUAGGGUGCAAGCGUUAAUCGGAAUUACUGGGAGUAAAGCGUGCGCAGGCGGUUCGGAAAGAAAGAUGUGAAAUCCCAGAGCUUAACUUUGGAACUGCAUUUUUAACUGCCGAGCUAGAGUAUGUCAGAGGGGGGUAGAAUUCAACGUGUAGCAGUGAAAUGCGUAGAGAUGUGGAGGAAUACCGAUGGCGAAGGCAGCCCCCUGGGAUAAUACUGACGCUCAUGCACGAAAGCGUGGGGAGCAAACAGG